rnacentral:rRNA from 1 species
GACGAGGGAUCCUAGCGUUGUUCGGAAUCAUUGGGCGUAAAGCGGGUGUAGGUGGCUUUGUAAGUCGGGCGUGAAAGCCCAGGGCUCAACCCUGGAAGUGCAUUCGAUACUGCGAAGCUUGAAUGUCGGAGAGGUUACUAGAAUACCUGGUGUAGUGGUGAAAUACGUAGAUAUCAGGUGGAAUACCGGAGGCGAAGGCGGGUAACUGGCCGAACAUUGACACUGAGACCCGAAAGCGUGGGGAUCAAACAGG